rnacentral:lncRNA from 1 species
AGGAUUUCCAGGGAUUCAGAAAUCGCCAGUGUAACUCCAUAAAUGCUUUAUUUUCAUGGAGCGACUUCCACCCUGCAGCUAAAAUUGACAAAGUGUUUUCACAGCCGAGUUGUUGGGGCUGAGGCAGUGGGUCUCAGGAAGAUCCCUGGCUUAAUGGAUGCAAACGCACAAUGAAGUCCCGGCCUGGAGUGGAACCUUUCAACUCCCAGUCAUUCUUCCAGGACCGGGAACUCCUGGCACG